rnacentral:rRNA from 1 species
AUGGCACGCCAAUAUGCUUUAAGGGAUGGUCUUCCAGAAGAGAUUGCGGAAGCACUGUUUGAGAUAACACUUCCAAGGUUCUCUGGCGAUGUUUUCCCAAAAAUAGAUGCUGGUAUAGUCCUUGCGGUUGCUGAUAGAUUGGACAGCCUAGUGGGUCUGUUCGGAGCUGGAUGUCAGCCAAGUUCUUCAAAUGAUCCAUUUGGACUGAGAAGGAUCUCUUAUGGAUUGGUUCAAAUAUUGGUUGAGAAUAAGAGGAACUUUGACCUCACAAAGGCCUUGACCUUGGUGGCACAGGUGCAGCCUAUAAGAAUAGACAAUGACGUUAUAAAUGAGGUAGUGCAAUUUGUAACACGGAGACUCGAACAACUUUUGGUGGAUGAGGGAAUUAACUAUGAAAUAGUUCGGUCGGUGCUUAUGGAGCGUGCGAACUGCCCAUAUCUGGCAUCACAAACGGCAGCUGAAAUGGAAGCAUUUUCAAGAACUGAAGAUUUCCCAAAAAUUGUUGAGGCGUAUUCCAGGCCAGUUCGAACUAUACGUGGGAAGCAAAUCGAGUCUGCUUGGGAGGUUGACGCAAGCGUAUUUGAGAAGGACGAAGAAAAAGCCUUGUGGAGCGCCUAUUUGGAGGCUGUCGACAAGAUCCAUCCUGGUGUUGACGUCAAAACCUUCGUCGAGGCCUCCCUGCUUCUGAUACAGCCUCUGGAAGAUUUCUUCAACAAUGUUUUUGUCAUGGCGGAAGAUGAGAAGAUCCGCAACAACCGGCUGGCACUGCUGCAAAAGGUUGCGAGUUUGACGAAGGGGAUAGCCGACCUCUCGGUUUUACCAGGGUUUUAG